rnacentral:rRNA from 1 species
AGUGAACGCUGGCGGUAGGCCUAACACAUGCAAGUCGAACGGCAGCACAGUAAGAGCUUGCUCUUACGGGUGGCGAGUGGCGGACGGGUGAGGAAUACAUCGGAAUCUACUUUUUCGUGGGGGAUAACGUAGGGAAACUUACGCUAAUACCGCAUACGACCUACGGGUGAAAGCAGGGGAUCUUCGGACCUUGCGCGAUUGAAUGAGCCGAUGUCGGAUUAGCUAGUUGGCGGGGUAAAGGCCCACCAAGGCGACGAUCCGUAGCUGGUCUGAGGGGAUGACCCCCCAACCGGGAACUGGGCACCGGUCCAAACCCCUACGGGGGGCAGAAGGGGGAAAUAUGGGAAAAGGGGCGCAAGCCUGACCAAGCCAAACCGCGGGGGUAAAAAAGGCCUUUGGGUUUUAAACCCCUUUUUUUGGGAAAAAAAAGCGGCAGGUUAACACCCCGCUUUUCUGGCGGUCCCCAAAAAAAAAGCACCGGUUAACUUCGU